rnacentral:rRNA from 1 species
UACGCCGGUCAUAGGGCGCGGGCCCCACCCACACUCAUUCCGAACGUGGAAGUUAAACCGCGCCACGUCCUUCACCUCUGUGGUGCGCAAGCCCACGAGAGGCUAGGAUGCUGGCGGUC